UGUAUAAUACGUAAGGCUACCAAAAUUCUUCCAGCCAAAUUUGAAAUUAAGAUUGAAAGGAGUGUCCUCAGAGCUUAACCCUCUGGCUUAGGAAUCUACAAAGAGAGAGUCCAACUAAUCAACGUAAACUUGUUUCCAUAUCUAGAAUAGAUAAAAUGGAUCCAAGCCAAACAAAAUUAUUUAUCAAUGAAAAUAAGAACACAACAAAACACUGUGUUCAGUUGUGUGUGUAUAUGGAGGGAGAGAGANNNNNNNNNNNNNNNNNNNNNNNNNNNNNNNNNNNNNNNNNNNNNUCAUAGCGAGAAAAGUUCAAAGAUGAUUCAGGUAAAGCAAGACAUGACAAAAUCUGGACUGUGAGUAAAUAAGACAAUAAUGCUUGACCUACUUUUGAGAUUUAAAGAAUAGUGAUCAAGACAUGACAAAAUCUAUGAAAAUAAGUUUAGGAAGAAAUAAAAAGAUAGAUGCUUAUUUCUAUCUCAGAAGAUUUAAACGGUAGAACAAUUAAAUGUGGAAGACAUUUCAUAUUUCAAUAGUGAAAACAAAACAUUAAGCUCAAAGAAAGAACUAGCACAUACUGAUGGGAUCUUAUUUUCUUGUAGAAAUNNNNNNNNNNNNNNNNNNNNNNNNNNNNNNNNNNNNNNNNNCAUGGUUUAUGAUAAACUCCACAGCAUAAGGACCUGUUAAGCAUAAACAAAUGUUAAUUAAAGUCAUUAAACUAUCCUCUUGUUUUUGACCAAAGCUUCUUCAGAGGAUAUUUUUGAAAUGAUAAAACAAAUCACAUUGUCUUGUUUGGAUUAACUUAUUUGAGGUUUUCUACUAUCAUAAGCAUUUACGAGACUUUUUAUGUCUUUGUGAGAGCUUAAUUAUGGAAGAAACUUAUGACAUGUUCAUAAGUUGUUUUUAGUUUAUCUCUAUAAACUCUUCAAGAUAGCUUAUAUAUGAAUAUAAUUUGAGUUUAUUUAUCUUUUACUAUAAACUAGCUUAUACGUAAGCACUUAUAUGAUAAUUGCUUAAUUAAGAUUUUAAUCCAAACAAUGCCGAGAAGGAAGAAAAGACAUACCAAGAGUGCCAUCUAAUGGAACAUAAGUUACUGCAAAGCUAUUGCAAGCCUGCAAAAUGGCAAAACCAAUUAGGUGAAGUCUUAUUACAAUAAUUAACAAGAAUGAUUAUACAAUUACAUACAAAGUACUAUACCUCCAUUGCAAUUCACAGGCCUUCCAAGCAUUUGGUUGUUGGGGUUCCUCUUGCCAGAAUCACUCUUCUAAGAAUCAGUCCCAAAAUUUGAAGCAAAUCUUGCAUAAAGCUGUCUCAACUUAACAUGCAGCAAUCUUGUCAAAUUUUUCAAAUUCAAAGUGAAAAUUCAUUUAAAACUAUUAAGAAUCUAAUAAGGAGCAUAUACAAAGAGGAACAAUGCCAUGGUGACUGGAACUAUAAACAAUCACUUUUUGCAAUACACACACCAAACUUAUAAAAAUCUUUCAUUUGGAGAAACUGAAAAGGUGUAAUCCCAAACACAACACUCCAUCAUCAUGAUUCAACCCCUAAUUCAAAUUCACUCCAACAAACACAUCAAAAUCAGAGUUCAUAGAUGUUCAUAAAUAUUACAUAAACUGCUUUAGCAAUUAACCGAUGCAGGUUUAGAAACAACAUAAAUAGGGGUUUAGAAAUCUUGUUACACAGCUAGAAACAAAAGCAAAAAAUAGUAAACACCAAUAUAAGAACAAAGUGACAAAUUCAAACAAAAGUUAGUACAAACAAAAUGCAACUGUUAGAAAUCAAGCAAUCAUAGAAAACCCCACAUAUAGGUGGUUCGAAUAACUACGUAUAUGCACAAAA
rnacentral:lncRNA from 1 species